AAAGUUGUACAAGUGUUAUCGCUCCUUACUGAAUUUCACUAGACCAAGUUUGAAAUUAUAUCUGAAUUAUAGUAAUGGCAGCGAUCACCACUUGCACUUCGACUGCUCUGAUCAGUCGCGUUAGCAUUGUGCAGAAGGCCCCUACUGUUCUUGGGUUGCCUGUAAUGCCGAGAGUGGGUAAAGUGAAAUGUUUAAUAGUAAAAGAUAUUGGCGGAGGUGCUUCAACAGGGAGCAUGAUAGCAAGAUACCAUAUUUAUAUACAGUAGUAAUUAGUUCGAAACUAAGUUUUUCUUAUCCUUGAACUUCUGAAUUUUUUGAUUUUCAUUUCUUUAAUUUCUUGGUUCCUUAAACUUUUGUAGAAUACAGUGACUAAUCGAUAUCACCUUUCAUGUUAACUUGA